ensembl:rRNA 5S_rRNA 5S ribosomal RNA
GUCUAUGGGUAUAACACUAUGAACAGACCAGAUUUCAUCUGAUCUCAUAAGCUGAGCAGAGCUGGACCUGGCUAGUACUUGGAUGGGAGACUAUCUGGAAAUAUCAGGUGCUAUAGGCU